CUUGCUUUGAGCAGUUUCAUGGGCGCUUUCGUAAUUGGUAUUUGGUGUUCCUCUUAUUCAGAGACCUGUGACAACUUUGCUUGGUGCACUGUUCCAAAGGCUCUGCAGUAAAUGUUUCAAAGAGGUAUGUCGAUAUUAAGAGUGGCUGUCCUAAAUGGGAAAAAGAAGAAAUUCCUCUCACAAAACAAUUCAACUGCACCAC